rnacentral:rRNA from 1 species
UACGUAGGGGGCUAGCGUUGUCCGGAAUCAUUGGGCGUAAAGCGCGUGUAGGCGGUCCGGUAAGUCCGCUGGGAAAGUCGGGGGCUCAACCCUCGGAUGCCGGUGGAUACUGUCGGGCUUGAGUACGGAAGAGGCGAGUGGAAUUCCUGGUGUAGCGGUGAAAUGCGUAGAUAUCAGGAGGAACGCCGGCGGCGAAAGCGACUCUCUGGCCUGUAACUGACGCUGAGGCGCGAAAGCUAGGGGAGCAAACGGG